CGCUAGCCUAUCGGUUCGGUGUUGUAAAGUGUUGUUCGUUUCUAUUGCGUGUAUUAGACAUGGUUUAACAUCUGGACCGCUUGUAGUGUUAUGGACUAUUGGAUUGCUAUUUACAAUAAUAUAAGCCCAGGGAUGUAGACAGCAAACUACCAUCGUGGGGGCUGCUCCUUCGCAUGAGAAGAUGGCCCAGGUGGAGACCCCCGGAGUACAGCGCGGGGUGGCGGGUGUUGGAAGGAUACGCAGGAAAGGCACCCCCAUCCCCGUCCUGCCUCC